rnacentral:rRNA from 1 species
UACAGAGGGUGCAAACGUUGUUCGGAAUUACUGGGCGUAAAGCGCGUGUAGGCAGCUCGGAAAGUCGGAUGUGAAAGCCCUGGGCUCAACCUAGGAAGUGCAUUCGAAACUUCCGAGCUUGAGUGCUGGAGAGGAAGGCGGAAUUCUCGGUGUAGAGGUGAAAUUCGUAGAUAUCGAGAGGAACACCGGUGGCGAAGGCGGCCUUCUGGACAGUAACUGACGCUGAGACGCGAAAGCGUGGGGAGCAAACAGG